rnacentral:rRNA from 1 species
AUUGAACGCUGGCGGCAUGCCUUACACAUGCAAGUCGAACGGCAGCACGGGUGCUUGCACCUGGUGGCGAGUGGCGAACGGGUGAGUAAUACAUCGGAACAUGUCCUGUAGUGGGGGAUAGCCCGGCGAAAGCCGGAUUAAUACCGCAUACGAUCUACGGAUGAAAGCGGGGGACCUUCUGGCCUCGCGCUAUAGGGUUGGCCGAUGGCUGAUUAGCUAGUUGGUGGGGUAAAGGCCUACCAAGGCGACGAUCAGUAGCUGGUCUGAGAGGACGACCAGCCACACUGGGACUGAGACACGGCCCAGACUCCUACGGGAGGCAGCAGUGGGGAAUUUUGGACAAUGGGCGAAAGCCUGAUCCAGCAAUGCCGCGUGUGUGAAGAAGGCCUUCGGGUUGUAAAGCACUUUUGUCCGGAAAGAAAUCCUUGGCCCUAAUACGGUCGGGGGAUGACGGUACCGGAAGAAUAAGCACCGGCUAACUACGUG